CCCUUAGAUGUCCUGGGCCGCACGCGCGUUACACUGAUGCAUUCAACGAGCUUAUAACCUUGGCCGAGAGGCCUGGGCAAUCUUGUUAACGUGCAUCGUGAUAGGGAUAGAUUAUUGAAAUUAUUAAUCUUGAACGAGGAAUUCCUAGUAAACGCAGAUCAUCAAUCUGCAUUGAUUACGUCCCUGCCCUUUGUACACACCGCCCGUCGCACCUACCGAUUGGAUGGUCCGGUGAAGCCUCGGGAUUGUGGUCCUUGCCGCUUUAUUGUGGCGUGACCGCGAGAACUUGUCUAAACCUUNUNAUCUAGNGGAAGGUGAANUUGUANCA
rnacentral:rRNA from 1 species